rnacentral:rRNA from 4 species
CGGCAACGGAUAUCUCGGCUCUCGCAUCGAUGAAGAACGUAGCGAAAUGCGAUACUUGGUGUGAAUUGCAGAAUCCCGUGAACCAUCGAGUCUUUGAACGCAAGUUGCGCCCCAAGCCUUUAGGCCGAGGGCACGUCUGCCUGGGUGUCACG